UAUUGGUUUAAACCCCAAGCUUUCUUCGGGAAGUUUUGGGUGAAACUGAAUAUUCCAGGCGGAUCGUAUGGUCUUGUCCCGAGGACAUGUCAUUCAAGGUUCUGAUCUUUCAACUUUCUAAUAAAGGUAAUAGUACUUAUAUGGUUUUGACGGAUAACGGGGUAUUAGGGUACGAUUCCGGAGAAAAUGCCUGAGAAACGGCGUUUACAUCCAAGGAAGGCAGCAGGCGCGAAAAUUACCCACUCUUCAGUACGAGGAGGUAGUGACGAGAAAUGACAAGAUCUAUUCCUUCGGGGAUGGAUCAUUGGAAUGGUUUGAUUUUAAAAUCAUUAAAGAGUAUCAAUGAGAGGGCAAGUCUGGUGCCAGCAGCCGCGGUAAUUCCAGCUCUCAUACUGCAUUGAAUUGUUGUUGCGGUUAAAAAGCUCGUAGUUGGAUCUGUACAUGAUAGGUUAGUUCAUCCUUUGGAUUGUAACUAAUACUAAAUGUUUUUUAUUAGAUUUUUAUAUGGAUUUCGGUUCAUAUUAUGUCUAAUGAGUUUACUUUGAAUAAAUCAGAGUGCUCAAAACAGGCGUAAGCUUGUAUGGUUUUGCAUGGAAUAAUAGAACAUGACUAUGGUUCAUGUUUUAUUGGUUUUACUUACCAUAGUAAUGAUUAAAAGGAACAAACGGGGGCAUCCGUAUCGCAGGGUGAGAGGUGAAAUUCGUGGACCCUUGCGAGACGAACUACAGCGAAAGCAUUUGCCAAGAAUG
rnacentral:rRNA from 1 species